rfam:Gossypium raimondii Chr04_contig_1399, whole genome shotgun sequence.
UAUUAAAAAUUUGAUCCAUUUCUAUUGCUAAAAACCAAAUAAAUGACACAUGGCGUGCCACAUGUACCUCAUGCUGAUGUAUAAGCACCAAUUUUUAAAAGUAGAAAUGUAUGAAAUUUUUAACA